AUAGCUCGUCUAGAGCGGUCGGCUGUUAACUGACUGGUCGUAGGUUCCGAAUCCUACU
rnacentral:sRNA from 1 species